UUGCGGCCUAUCAGCUUGUUGGUGAGGUAAUGGCUCACCAAGGCAACGACGGGUAGCCGGCCUGAGAGGGCGACCGGCCACACUGGGACUGAGACACGGCCCAGACUCCUACGGGAGGCAGCAGUGGGGAAUAUUGGGCAAUGGAGGAAACUCUGACCCAGCGACGCCGCGUGCGGGAUGAAGGCCUUCGGGUUGUAAACCGCUUUCAGUAGGGAAGAAGCGAAAGUGACGGUACCUACAAAAGAAGCACCGGCUAACUAUGUGCCAGCAGCCGCGGUAAUACAUAGGGUGCAAGCGUUGUCCGGAAUUAUUGGGCGUAAAGAGCUCGUAGGUCGUUUGUUACGUCGGAUGUGAAAACCUGAGGCUCAACCUCAGGCCUGCAUUCGAUACGGGCAAACUAGAGUUUGGUAGGGGAGACUGGAAUUCCU
rnacentral:rRNA from 1 species